GUUAUAACUUAUAACUUAUAAGGCUAAUUUACACUAAAGAAUUUUAUCCAUUCUCAUUUUUUUAAGUGACAUUCUCAUUUGGUCAUUUCAUCGAACAUUUUGCAAUCAAUUCUCAUUUAGUCAUUUUAUGUAAUUGUUUCUACUUGGUUCUUUCAAUCAUUGGUUUUCUUUAUUUAAAUUUAUGGGUUUCUGAUUUUGCAGGAUUGUAAACACUGGAAUGCUAAAAGGCAAUCAAGUCCUCAACUAAAAAUGAUUGGAGUCCAACCGGCAAAGGGAAAGUAGCAUUGGAGGACAGAAGAGAAGCUAUAUUGCCGGCGGGUUUUCUGGAAGAUUUUGGGAUAAUUUCUGGAAAAUAUUUAGGUCCUGAUUACAAGACUAUAUAAGCCUUCCAAUUAGAUGAGUAAGUUGGCGCUCAUGAUUGAACCAAAAUUAUUAUCCAUGGAUGGGGGUUUAUAAGCGAGACUUCCUAAAUGCAACAUAAGUGCGCUACAGACAACUUUGAGAUUGUUUUCAGGUUCUCAUGGCUGUAAUGUAUCAUUUUCACUUCUUGCCAAAUAGAUGUUGAUAUUUCAGUUGUUGAGGAGUGUUUUUGAUGCGAAGUUAAUCCUGAGAUAUCCAUGCUAUCUGCUUUCGGUUUUAAUGUUUGUUAUGGUGACUUACAAGUUGGUAAAUGUGGUGAGGCAUUAGGACUUCCUCAAUCAAUGGCAUUGCUGGACGGAGGUUUGCCUAUACCCGUACCCAAUUAUGUUUUGAGUCUUUUGUUCUAACUUUGGUGGGCAGCUCGCAAAAUGUUGACUUUUUGUUUUUCUGGAUUCUAUUAUCAUGGAUUUUUUCAUAGCUCCAAUAACUGUGUAAGUGUAAGUUGGCUAUUGUAAUAUAGAAAUGAGAAGUACACCGAUGUCUUCCACGUAUAAAUCAUAGGUUUUUAUCUUUGCUCCAAUAUUGCGGGUGUCUUCGUUCUAAUCUUUGAACCAGAAUCUGUAUCCAUCAUCAAUUCAUCGCUUUUAGUGUUUUAUUGAGGUCUUGGCCUAUAGUUUCUUGACUAAUCUUGAUGGGUGAUUUCAAGGGUCGUGUACAUAUUAACCUACCUAGAUUUCAUGAUAUUACGUAGGAUAAUAGUCCUCCAUAUUCAAGUGCCUUCUAGUUUUUUGUUUCUGUUUGAGUAUGUUACGUGCACGUGGAAUUCUUUAACAGAAAUUGUGCAAGGUUCUCUCUUUUUUCACAGUUUCCUGUAGACACAAAAGGAUCACUCAGGGGGGUGUUCGCUCUUUGGAUCCUUCAAAACUUAAGUUGGCUAGUGAUACGGAUCACAUUGGUUUUGCUAAGGAACUCCUGUCAAGUUAGUCUGCAAUUUCUGUAGAUAUUUAUAUUUCAAAUUUGGUAUGAUUGAAGACAUAGAAUUCAGAAGAGUAUGCAAAAUUAUACUCCAUUGCUUUUUAGUGUUGGUGUUAAUAUCAGUUUAAAGGUUGUGAUGCUUCUUCUGGUUAGAUGAAGUCGCGGCUGAAACUUCAUUAACAAAUUGCGUACUGGUUGGUCAUAAGAUUCUCAAUGCUCAAAUGGGGGAUAAUAUCUCUACAUAUAACAUUGUUUCAUUUGUAUCGGCUUCAAUUCAUGGCUAAGCGUCUGCAAUAAACGAGGUAUCUUCAUCAUCAUCAACUCAAUAUCCCGCUCGAAAACAGGGUCCAGGUGAGGGAAGGUAAUAAACAAUUCAUACCCGUACCCCAUUCAGAGAGAGGGCUAGAGGAAUAUGGUCAAUUUUGCCCCCAAACAGUGAGAGCCCCGUUCAAAAACAAGGUAUCUUAUCCGCUUCAAUUUUCUGCCCUGUUGUCUGAAACCCGAAUCUCUUUUAGUUCUAUCUAGAACAUAGGAUAGGCACUUAGAUGAUUAUGCUAUGUUGCAUAUAAUUGUGAAAUUGUAAUUUUUCUGACAGAAACCUCAAGCCUUCAAUUUACCUGUAAGUUCUCUUUUAAAUCUUGGUACUCUACUUGGCAAUAACAAGCCUUAAAUUUGUUUACUAAAUCAUCUAAAAUUACUGUCUAACUGAUAUGUCAGAAUACCUUUCUGUUAUUAAAGAAACAUAAAUAGAAGUUUCAAGUUAUCACUGCAUAUAACCUCAGUAAUUUCAAAGUUCUCAUUUCCCAUAAUUGGUGUCUUUAAAUAGGAGUAAGUGGGGUACUAAUUACAACUUUUUUACUGUUAGAAUUUUCAAUUUUAAAUCUUUGAAAGUUGUUUUUGUACCUGAAAAAUUGUUUUCAGUGCAUGUCUGUCUUUACUUAUUAGUAUAACAGCAUUCUCACUUUGUCAGUUAUAAUUACUUACUUCUGGUGCAUCAUCUUCCCUAGGUGAAUUUCAAGUGCAAAAAGCACUCAAGUAUUUUUUUGGGUUUUUGCACAGAAAGGGAUCUAAUUAUGAAACUGACUUUUAAGUGUUAAAGACUCUUAAAUUUUUAUUAUUAUACUCCCUCUGUUCUCGAGAUAUUGUCACAGUUGUGUAUUACACAAAGUUUAUGAAAUGGUAGGAUCAUUUGUAUUGUUUGGAUAAUAUCUAUGUUACUUGGACUGGGGUACUGAUAUGGGAUACUAGUACGUCUCCAAUUGUCGGAUAUGUCUAAAUAGUAAAUUUUACUCCCAAAAUGAAGUGUCUAAGUGCCAUACCCAUGUCCGAUCCAUACCAAUGUCCGAACACCAAGGAUCGGACAUGGGUAUGUGAAGCAAAAUUAAGAGUGUGAGUAACAUAGGAUAAUAUUAAAGGAGAGUUGAAAUGUUUGGCUGAGAAUAAAAGAAUGCGGUGAGGACAUUUCUAUAAAAGGAAAUUGUAGUAAAGUGAAAGCGACGAAUGAAAGGUAAAGUGUGAUAAUCUCUUAGGAACAGAGUAGUGUAACAUAUUCACCAGUUAUUUCGCUUUUUGAAUUCACGAUUUGGUGAAAACAACCCUAAAAUAACUCAAAAUCGACCAUAAUUUGCUUCUUUUGAUUUGCUAUUCUCAAGGAGAUUAGUGAAUCAUGUGACAGUGGAACAGAGGCAGUAUUGGUUUAAUAUACAGCAGUUCAUGGAGUACUUGCUCUAGCUUUUUUGAAUGUUUUAAUGAACAGCAGUUCACAUUUACUGACUGUUAUGCUUAUAUACUUUUUUUACUCAAAUGUUUUUUUCUUUUUAAUUCCCAUUUGAUAGGAUUUUAAAUCCUUUUUCUUUUUCUGUUGUUUGAUAGGAUUUUAAAUCCUUUUUCUUUUUCUGUUGUUUGAUCAGAUUGUUGAACCUCCAACUAUGAAGACCUGUCCAAGAACAAAUCUUUUCCCAGAUUUUCUAACAGAGGACUUGUAAAAUGUUCUAGGGUUAAAUGUUGGGACAUCGAAGCAAUAGCUCCAUGGCGAACCGAUUUCAUUGAACGCACAAGAAAACAUCGCACCACUUUCGAGUUCAUCCUUUGCAUUGUCUAACUUGUAACAAAAUAUUUCACGAGAAUUAUGAGUUGGCCUAAUGAUUGAAGACUGAGUUUCAAUUCUCACCACAUGCAAAAAGAUCUAUUCCUCUCUUCUUUUGUCUAUGGAAAUUCUUCUUAUAUCGAGACGAAUCAAACAAGAUCUUAAUUGACUAUGUUUUGAAUCAUUGAUUAAGAAUAAAAUGCAAAUCAAGACUCAUUGAAACGAAGAGAGUAUUAUUUUACAGAAAUAGUAUACCUUUAGUAACGGUGUUCAAAACAGACCCGACGACUAGAACUUACUCGACCUUUUGACCGAACUCAAUUUUAAUCUAACUUUAAAAUGGAUUUACAAUUAUGUAAAAACUAAUGUGUACAAAAAACUCAAUUUUUAACCUGACUUAAGACACCUAAAUCGAAAUCAACCCAAUAACCCAAAU